GAAAAGGAUAUACAACUCCCGUGGUUGGUUGAUGCUAUUGAAUUUCAACGUAUGCUUUCACACGGAGAAUUCCUUUCAUACGAGAACCGGCUAAGUCUAGGUGGUCCAUGUAGGGCAGGGAAAAGUACCCUUGCAAGCGUGCUUAUUGGAGAAAAAAUUCCACUUAAGUGGAAUUCAACAGACGGACUUGUCAUAUUUUUUGGAAGGAACGGUAUUGACAUAGAAAGAAAUAAAAUGCUUCCGCUCAAAAAGGGUGAUCGGGGACAUGAGGUUUUGGCAAAAAUGCUUCGAGGUAAACCAGAAGAGUUUUCCGAACAGUUUACCAGACCGGAAACAACAACCAAUCAAAAAAGGGUGAAUUCAGUCGUUCAAACAUCAAUUGAAAGCUCUAAACAAACUGAAAAUAUAAAAGAAAAAUACAGGACAACCAGACAUUCAACAGACAAAUGUGCAUCAAAGACUCAUGAUGCAAUGACUAAGUCUUACCUCGAACAGUUAGGUACACAAAUUUCGAAAACAGAUAUGCCUUCAACAGCUCACGAGAUUCAAACAUUAGAUUGCCAGAAACUGCAACUUCAAUCAGAUAUUUUACAUGAAGUUAGAAAUGGACAGUACAAAAUUGAAAUAGCACCGUCAGAUCUAAUAGAUUUCGGUGGCCAAAAAUCAUAUGAUAUGACACAUCAACUUUUCAUACAACACCAGGGAUCAUUUUUGUUGAUGUUUGAUGGUAGAUUUGGUUUACAUAAACAGUUAGACGAAUAUCCGGAGGGGGUUACUGCUGCAUCCAUACUCAAACAUUGGGUUGAUUCAAUUUUGACCUACACUGAUAAUUCUGAAGACAUUAUGCCGAUGAUUCUCUUUGCUGCAACACACAGAGACAAGUGUAAGG